UGCAAAUCUGUUUAUUUUAUUUCUUAGUAGAACUGACCAUCAGAGGUGUAUCCAUCGUGCCCACUAGGUGGAGGCACUGCACUGUGAGAUGCCAUUUUCUCAAAUUCUCAUGGAGGUUGGUGUCUUGGCCUCGUUUCUUUUCUCUUAUCUCCUUCUUCUGUUCUUUAUCUCUUGCUUCUGUUCUUCUAUCUGUGUGUCAUUUGAAAAUAAUGCAAAAUAAAAUCUUAUAAAUCUUACCUGCUGGUUUGCCAGCAGGUAAUGUGCCAGGUCAGUGUUAUCCAAGUGUGUGCAAUGAAACGGUUACAGUACAUUAUAGUUAAGUGCAUUAGAAGCCUUUUUUGGUAUUACUGGCCCUUUAAGAACUUGUAGAAUCUAUGAAAGAUGGGCACUUACAUAAUUAGAUGCCAUAUAAUUUGCUGUUUUUCUGUAAACAGGUAAAAUAUCACUAAUCUAUAAAACAUUAUCACAGCCAAAAUUCUUAAGGUCCGGGUUUGACCCACUCAGCACUACUUGAGGUCUCCAAGGGACCCAAACUGUUGUUUCUGGUAAUAUGUUAUCUGUUUCCAGAAACAACAUUUUGGGCCCUUUGGAGUCCUCAAGUAGUGCUGAGUGGGUCAAACCGGGACCUUAAGAAUUUUGGCUGUGGCAAUGUUUCAUAGAUAUGGUGAACUAGAGGGGACUCAUUUAGAGUACUGGAGCACCAGUUAUUCAUCUGUCUUGUGCAACUAGAAGUGCCUGGUUCAAAAAUAAUAACAUUUCCAACAGAGAUGGUUCACUCUCACUCCCUCUACUAUUGAAUUUUAAACAGAUCUCUUAUCCUUAUUCUUUAAAAUUAAUUACAGGAGUUAUCGAUUAGCAAACUCCUUUUAUCCUUCCUUCUCUUUCACAAGACGUGGGGAAUUUGUGUUAUUUUAGGAAAGAUAGAAUACAAUUCAAGUUAGAAAAGGUACUACUGAGACCACAGUUCCCCACGUUCUGCCUUCUUUACUUGUGGUAAUCCCAGGGUCCAGAUAUCAAAAUGACCAGACAGUAACAAACGGGAUGAUUCCACCACUAUCUCUUUUUUCUUACAAGUGUGAACGUGAUACAAUUCUUGAAUCUGUUGUUACAUUGUAUAUCCAGCCAAUCAACUUAUAAGGUUGAUACAAUUUAUCUUUCACAGGAAGUUCUGUGAACGGAGCUUCUGUUUUUUAACAAUUUUUACCUUAGCUAUUGUGGAAUUUAUGCACUGAAUUAAUUGGUAAUUGGCACAACAAUUUAUUCUAAUUUUUUAGUUAAUUAAAUCCCCUUGGGGUUAUCAUGGUGGUCAAUUAAUUAGCACAAAGCACUUUAGAGGUUCUGUCUCUAUCUUAAUGACCUUGUAUUAAAACAGGUAAUAGGCGAACCAAUUUAAUUCACUAUUAAUAGUAAUUACAAUCAAUGCAUUAGAUUGUUUAAUGAAUUUGAAUUGUGAAUUAAUUUGAUCGUACAAUAUAACUUAGCACAUAUGGGGUUUUACUUUUCUUUUUUUUUUUUUUUUUAAAUUAAUAAAAUAUAGUCAAUUGGUGAUUGUACCCCGCUGUGUCUUUUUUAAGGUGAUAAAUUGCUGAGAAUAUACAACUUUUGUGAUAAUCUCCAACAGAAGUUCAUUUAGAGGAAAACAAAGAGCUGCACAAUUCAGUCCAAAGAAAUGUUGAAAGUGUGCUUUAAUAGUAGACUUUUAGUAGACUUAUUUUUUUUUAUUGAUGUUCCCCUUUUAUUUAUAAAUUAGGAAUUAUUAACUUGUUUCACGGGAAAAAAUACAUGCACUAUCAUGUUUUGCUGUCUCUUUAGAAUACAUGAAAUCAUUCAAGAGCCAAAUGCUAUAUCUUUAGCAGUGCUUUAUGUAGUCAGGUCUGCUAUUGCUUAUAGUCAUCAUAGUCUUCCACAUUUCUCUUUGAAUAAAAAAAAAAACCCAGCAAAUUCUAUUCCAGUUUCAGAGAAAAAGCUCUAAAUUAGCAUUGCAUUGUAGGGUUAGACUUUUACACUCAUAUACAAGUCAUAUGAUAUUUGCCAGGAAUGUAUCAAGUGAUAAACUUAUUGUACACAUUUUAAAAAAUGCAUUUUCAUAUUUUUAUUUGUAGAACAAACUAAUGGAAAGUGUUUUCACUUUAAGACCUCAACGUGAAUCCAUUUCUCCUCUUCUGUAUUCAGUGUCUAUGGAUAUGCAGCUGAGCAGGAGCUGUGACUACAUGUGAGUGUUUUUCUAAGGGAAGAUCAACGCCCUGUUCUUUAUAAACACCUCAGGAAAGGUCAACAUGUGGAAGUGCCAUAAACAAAGAACUGUGUCUAUGAUUGACAGGGUUGGCCCUAGGAAUAAUAACAACAUAUGCAAAAGAAUGCAGUGGUCACCCAUCAGAUAUUUAUAUAACAAGAUAAAUCCUAUCUUUUUUAUGACACACCGUAAGGCCAUGCCAGAAUGAUAAAAUACUCCAGUACCCCAUAGUAUCAGUAACUUAAAAAGUUCUCCCCUUUUAAUGGAAUAGACCUAAAUAAAUAUGAGGGUUGAUUUACAAUCACAGGUGCUAAACUGUACCAGUAGCAUCCAAUCAGCAAUUGGUUUUCAACAGGCUGCUACAAGUUAGAAAA